rnacentral:rRNA from 1 species
AUUGAACGCUGGCGGCAGGCCUAACACAUGCAAGUCGAGCGAGCGGCGGACGGGUGAGUAAUGUCUGGGUAACUGCCUGAUGGAGGGGGAUAACUACUGGAAACGGUAGCUAAUACCGCAUACCAUCAGAUGUGCCCAGAUGGGAUUAGCUAGUAGGUGGGGUAAUGGCUCACCUAGGCGACGAUCCCUAGCUGGUCUGAGAGGAUGACCAGCCACACUGGAACUGAGACACGGUCCAGACUCCUACGGGAGGGAGCAGUGGGGAAUAUUGCACAAUGGGCGCAAGCCUGAUGUAGCCAUGCCGCGUGUAGGAAGAAGGCCUUCGGGUUGUAAAGUACUUUCAGCGGGGAGGCGUUACCCGCAGAAGAAGCACCGGCGAAAUCCGUGCCAGCAGCCGCGGUAAUAC